rnacentral:lncRNA from 1 species
CUCAAGACAAUGUUGGGGGUUGUCCUCAUAGUUGAAAGGGUUUACAGCAGACUUCUCUAGCCUGGUUUUCUCCAGACAUUUCAGACUACAGGUCCCAUCCUAGGAUCCUCGUACCUACGGGAUCACCUCUCCUGGUAUGCCCCACAGAGGACCUUAAGGUCCAUAUAUAGCAACACCCUAGAGGUCCCGGGCCCUAAGGAAGUUAGAUUAGCCUCAACCAGAGCCAGGGCCUUCUCAACACUGACUCCGGCCUGGUGGAAUGCUCUGUCUCUUGAGACCAGGGCCCUGCGGGAUCUGAUCUCUUUCCGCAGAGCCUGUAAGACAGAGUUGCUCCACCUGGCCUUUGGCUCAGAAUCAGUUUGAUUCCCUCCCCCUUUUUCUUUUUCCUUUCUCCUCCUAUGAUGAGUUUGCUCCCUAAUUGUUUUAAUGUUGUAUCUUAAUCUUUUAAAUUGUAUUUUAAUCAACUUGUUUUUAUUAUUGGUUGUUAGCCGCCCUGAGCCCGGUCUUGGCUGGGGAGGGCAGGGUAUAAAUUCAUCAUCAUCAUCAUCAUCCCUUGACUAUGUCUGUGCCUCGCUUUGCACAUUUGCACAAUUUUGCCCUCACACUCAUGACAACCGCUUUUGUCUUGAAGGAAGAGGAGGAGGAAGUGCUGGCAGCCUGUAGCUGUUUUGUGGCUCACUGCAGAGCUUCAGUCCCUUGGGGCUUGUCAACCUGGCACCUUCCAUGACAGAGCUGACCAUUCAUUGUACAGAAUUAACAUUUAUGUCAUGGUUUCUCGCGCACUGGGAACCAGAAUUAGAGAAAAGGGGUCACUCGUUCAGAUAUAGCAAUUAACAGAACUUCGUUUUAAUUUGUAAUGGGGAGAGAACUUUUAAGUUAGGGCUGAGCCACAUCUUUCCCAGGUUUGCUUUUUGCCUCAAAAAAGCAAUUCUGGAGAGGUUUCCCAACACCUAAAUCCAAAUUUUAUUAUGAUUGUUCGAAGUCAAAUUUUCCUUGACCUUUUGAAACUGUGUGGUGCCAUUUUCGUUCUCAAUCUCUUUCCUCCUUGAAGGAUUCUAGCCAAUCAGCAAUUUCAGCCAAUCACAAAUCAAUACUGGAUCUGUAAAUUAGGUAUUCAGAUGUACCUAUUGUUGAUUUCAUGAAUGACAAAUUAAGCUCAUUUUUAUUGAAAGUCAAUGCCAUCUAUACUCCCCAGGGCACAAGAAUGGACAAUGUGUAUGGUGGUCCUAGGCUGCCCAGACAACAAGACCUCCCUUAGUCUUGCUGAUGAGGUCCAAAGGAAAGCAGAGCUAUACAUUUGGCACCAGCUUGGCUCAGGAGCUGCCAGAAGGAGGUACACAAGUGCCAUCAAACUGCCUUAGGGACUCCACUGCUUGGAAUAAGCAUUCCUUCAAGGAAGAUCAUAAGAAGAGUCCUGCUGCAUCAGACCAAAUUCCAGUCCAGCAUCCUGUUUGCUCAAUGUUCAACCACCUGCCCCUUGGGAAGCUCACUAGCAGAAUAGCAGGGCUCUAGCACUCUCUCACUUGACCCAAGGCAAAUGGCAUUCAGCCUCUGACCCUGGAUGUAGGAUAAUGCCACCUCAAUUAGCAGGCAUUCAUUCUGGUGGUUCCUUCAUUGCGAGAAGUGAGGUUACAGCAGGCACAGGCAAACUCCGGCCCUCCAGGUGUUUGGGACUACAGUUCCCAUCAUCCCUGACCACUGGUCCUGUUAGCUAGGGAUGAUGGGAAUUGUAGUCCCAAACAUCUGGAGGGCCGGAGUUUGCCUAUGCCUAGGUUACAGGGAACCAGGCAGAAGGCCUUCUCGGUAGUGGUGUCCACCCUGUGGAAUGCCCUCCCGUCAGAUGUCAAGGAAAUAAACAACUCUCUGACUUUUAGAAGACAUCUGAAGGCAGCCCUGUUUAGGGAAGUGUUUGAUGAAUUUAUCGUGUUUUUAAUAUUCUAUUGGGAGCCGCCCAGAGUGGGCGGGAUAUUAUUAUUAUUAUUAUUAUUAUUAUUACUUUAUGCACCAUCUAAAUCAUCCAAUCUAAGGUAGAAUAUCCCAAUGCAGAUUAUCCUUCUGGAAAGCCUGAAUAACCAAAGCCUAGACCUUUUUCUGCCCAUCCAUUUUUCCAGAUUCACAAAGUUUAAAGCAGGUGCGUGCGUGCUUGUUGUCAUUUAUGAUGAUGAUGGUGGUGGUGGUGGUGGUGCUGUGGAUAUAAGGUCCCGUCCCCCCCAAACUGAAUGCUUCUCUCUUCUGACAAAUCUGUCUCAGAAUGACAGGAUCUCCACUGGGAACAUCUCACACAUUGAGAAAACCAGCUGUAUCAACAAGAAAACCGACAGACACCUAAACCUCAGGCCAGGGAACAAGUCUUUUAAAUGCUUGGCAGCUGAGAAAAUUGGUAAGCAGAAACAGGGGAUGGGUAGGAAUAACAACUCCCCUGAAAAUCUGUAAAACAACAGGCAAGACUGAACUGUUCCUAAUGCAGGUGCGGUAUAGACAUAUUAAAUGGUGUGGACAAAUGCUCCGGUGACUGUUCAUAGCUCCAAGGAAAGUUAUGUAGUGCAUGAGGUUUAAAGUAGGCCUACAUAUGCUCACAGUCACACUCCUUUGCUUAUACAUCCGUUCAGGCACAAAAGCUCCUCUAGGUGCUUAUCUCCGCCACUGUCAACCGGAGAUGUUGACAAAAGCAAACAAGAAAAGGCAAGAAGAAAGCAAGCUCAGAGGCAGCUGGCUUGGAAAGUAUCUAAUUUGAUGCCAUUCCCUUUCAACUUGCGUUCUGUUGAAAAAAAUAAAGGCCUUUGCACUCACAGAACUCCCUUGAUUUCCAUCUUUGCUUCUAAUGAAUACUGAAUAUAUAGAUCUAUCUAUAAUAUAUAGAUGCCACUCUCCUCUUCCUCACCCAUCCAGGCCUCCACUUUCCCAGUUUUGCUGCUCAAUAUCCUUCAGCAAGAGAUGCCAAAGAUGGGACCCACCCAGGGUCAUUUACAUGCCCAACAUGUUUUCCAGUUGCGGUGCUAUGUUCCCAAGUUACCCAUACUGACAUAAUCUCAUCACAGCUUGAUUAUGAGUGUAAGGCGGGUGGCGCUGUGGGUUAAACCACAGAGCCUAGGACCUGCCGAUCAGAAGGUCGGCGGUUGGAAUCCCCACGAUGGGGUGAGCUCCUGUUGCUCGGUCCCGGCUCCUGCCAACCUAGCAGUUCGAAAGCACGUCAAAGUGCAAGUAGAUAAAUAGGUACCACUCCGGCGGGAAGGUAAACGGCGUUUCUGUGCGCUGCUCUGGUUCGCCAGAAGAGGCUUAGUCAUGCUGGCCACAUGACCUGGAAGCUGUACACUGGCUCCCUCGGCCAAUAAAGCGAGAUGAGCGCUGCAACCCCAGAGUCGGUCACGACUGGACCUAAUGGUCAGGGGUCCCUUUACCUUUACCUUAAGCAUGAACCAAUUCAAUGCCCUGCAUCAAUAGGAGUAUAGCAUCUAGAUCAAGGGAAGUAAUAGUGCCACUGUAUUCUGCUCUGGUCAGACCUCACCUGGAGUACUGUGUCCAGUUCUGGGCACCACAGUUCAAGAAGGACACUGACAAACUGGAACAUGUCCAGAGGAGGGCAACCAAAAUGGUCAAAGGCCUGGAAACGAUGCCUUAUGAGGAACGGCUAAGGGAGCUGGGCAUGUUUAGCCUGGAGAAGAGGAGGUUAAGGGGUGAUAUGAUAGCCAUGUUCAAAUAUAUAAAAGGAUGUCACAUAGAGGAGGGAGAAAGGUUGUUUUCUGCUGCUCCAGAGAAGCGGACACGGAGCAAUGGAUCCAAACUACAAGAAAGAAGAUUCCACCUAAACAUUAGGAAGAACUUCCUGACAGUAAGAGCUGUUCGACAGUGGAAUUUGCUGCCAAGGAGUGUGGUGGAGUCUCCUUCUUUGGAGGUCUCUAAGCAGAGGCUUGACAACCAUAUGUCAGGAGUGCUCUGAUGGUGUUUCCUGCUUGGCAGGGGGUUGGACUCGAUGGCCCUUGUGGUCUCUUCCAACUCUAUGAUUCUAUAUACCAGUUGAUUGAUAUCAAAUAAGAUAAUAUCACAUCAGUAUGGUUGUCUGAACAGAGUCAGAAUUUCAUUUCAUUUCAUUUUUGCAAACUUCUAGUCCUCAUGGUUACUGGAUGAAAACUGAUGAAAUUAGGAUAGAUUCUGAAAUACAGGAUCUUUCAGGGACUUUUCAGAUGUCAGGGGGUUAAAAAUAUCUACAUUUAGAAUGGGCCUCAGUACCACCAACACUACCACUCUCAGCAUUUCUCUUUAUAUGGCCCUUAGUUCAUUGGUAAUGAUAUUUAUUACCUCCAUAUCUUCAUCUCUUGGUCAGUUUCUAAUCCAGCUCAUGAUUUUCCAAUUCUCACCCCCUAAAUAAUGCAACCAAAGAAAUUGUAGAAACUGUAUUAUGCAGCGAUCUAAUUUGGCACGCCAGCCUUAGAAUAACACAAUUUGGGUAUUUGGGAUGUAACAUUCCAACUUUUCUUGCCUACACCGAAGAGAGAUUGCGAAUAUUUUCUUUAGAUGUAGAAUUCAUGCAUUAAUAGUGUAUGUAAUUAUAAUAUGGCCAGUUACAAAGAAACACAAACAGGAGUGGACAUCAAAUGAAGACCUCGGCUGCACAAAGAUUAUUAUACAUAGUCAUCACUUUUUAAAUGGCUGCUCAGAGAUGUAUUCUGCUUCUUUCCUUCCAAGGAAAUGAAGAUCUGUCCCUCCCAAAGGGUUCUAGUUAGCAGGGUGUGCAAAUUUAGUUAUAUUGACUCAGUAAAAUUAGUGGGACUCUCUAAUUUAAUUGAGACAUGUUCAGACAAAGCUGGCUGCUUCUCCAGAAACACCAGGAGUCCGUUGUGCAUCUGUCAUCAAAGCUAGAAUGGACUGUAAUAAUUAGCAUUUAUACAGCACUUUAAAAUGUUACUGAGUGCUUCACAUACAUUGUCUUAGUAGUUCUGAGUCUGUCAGCAGCUCUGUAUGGCAGGAGGGCGGUGCUGGGGGUGGUUAAGGAUCAGAGAGCAUGGCUUGCAAAAAGCCAUUUAAUGAGCAAGGCCUAGGCCCUGGUUUGCUCAGAAACCCAUUGGACUGUGGCCACAUUUGCACAAAGUCUUUAAAGCACUGUGGUACCACUUGGGACAGCCAUGCCUUUCCCCAAAGAAUUCUGGGAACCACAGUUUGUUUAGGGGGCUGAGAAUUGUUAGGAGAUCCCCUAUUCCCUUCCCAGGGGUGCAGUUCCCAGAGUUCCCUAUGAAGAGGGACAGAUACCACUCUGAGGGAAAUAGGGGUCUCUUAGCAACUCUCAGCACUGCUAACUACAGCUCCUUGAAUUCUUUGGGAAAAGCCGUGCCUGUUCAAAGUGGUAUUAUUGAGGUUGAAUGUAUGGCGUUAAUGCAAUGGGGUGUGUGAAUGUGCUCAGGAGGAACCAUAGCUCACUCUUAGAACCCAUACAGUGGUACCUCGGGUUACAUAGGCUUCAGGUUACAGACUCCGCUAACCCAGAAAUAGCGCUUCAGGUUAAGAACUUUGCUUCAGGAUGAGAACAGAAAUCGUGCUCCAGCAGCACGGUGGCAGCAGGAGGCCCCAUUAGCUAAAGUGGUGCUUCAGGUUAAGAACAGUUUCAGGUUAAGUACGGACCUCCGGAAUGAAUUAAGUACUUAACCCAAGGUACCACUGUACUUUGUAUGCAGGAGGCUUUGGUUUCCAUUCUUGGUCUCUCCAGGUAAGAGAAUCGGGCAGCAGGUGACAGGGGUGGCCUCUACCCAGGGCUUUCUUUCAGUGAGUACUAAGGAUACGCAGUACCAGCACCUCUUUUUGUUGUUAAAAAGUGGGGCACAUACCGUACUGCAACAACUUCAUGGUGAGUACUGGCACCUAUUUUUCUAAGGGGGGGGAGCACUGCCUCUACCUGAGAUACCAGAGAACUGCCAGAAGUCAGAGUAGAUAUUAUUGGGCCAGACAGAUGAAUAGUGGGACUACAAGACAAUUUUCUACAUUCAUGCCAGUGUGCCCCUUCCGACACACCGUUUGUGAGUUGCUGCCUUGGUGAGUGCAGUGGAUAUGAUGAUACGAGGGAAGAGGUACAGCUCAUUGGGAAACUAAUUACCGAUUGUCUGCCACCAGGAUUUGUAAAUAACAAGCUAAGCUUUACAGUGACUGUAAGAUCGCCUGGCCUCGAUUACAGGCCCAUAUUUGCAUCUAUUAUGCAUCUAUUUUCCCACAGAUUAAUGUGUCCCAUUAAGAGUGAUCAGGGGAUGGCAGGAUCAUUAUCUGUCCUCAUUAGUGUGGGGGGGGGAGCCUUGGACUCAAUUAACAUGAUUUUUCAUCUUCUUCCAAGGCCCCUUUCAGGUUGCUAGACCACUCAGCUAAUAUCAAUGGGCCAAAGUAUUUGGCGUGUGCAUGUAAAUGGGAGGCUGUGUGGGCACUCAUGGCAAAGACAUCAAACAAGCCUCACAUUUUAUUUUCUUUCACUCUUCAGAGCCUGUAGAGUAGAGUGGGAAGGUGCCAAAUCCCGUUUUAGCUUCUGUAAGAGCAUCUAAAUGUCAACAAAGAGCCUUGUUAACUGCUAUCCUUUCCAAAUGUUCCUAUUUCUAAAAAUGAUUGCUCUCCCCUCCUUUUCUUAAAGUUGCUUUCUCCUACUAUCGCCUACCCUCUCCCCACCUAUCUGUGCAGAUCCUAAGGAGCUGAUUUAAUGAUCUGCUGCUAUAGCAGCUUCUGCUUUUAGACUGCAAACAGAAGAAGAGUAGUUAUAAAUGUGUGGCACUCUUCUAUCCAUACUAGGCCUCCACGGCAGUUUGUUCACAACUGUACACCCCAGGAACUGUUUGAAGAUUAUAUGUGUCCACACAAAAUGUUUAGUCUUCCAACCUUAGGAAAAUCAAACCAGCACCCAUGUGAUGCUAUUAAUGCAUAUAUCCUAAUACCAGAAAACCCAGGGAUGGGCAACCUUUAUGUUCCCAAGGGCCACAUGCAGCAGUGGGUGGACACUCAGGGGCCACAUUUUAUUGGGCAUGGGUGAGCUGGCAGUACAUCUGGUGGCUGCUGUCCACUGAGACUGGUGUAGGGUGGAAUACAGGGAGCCCGAACAGCAGGUGGCACCAGACCAAUGUCAGUCAGAGCCAACUACAGUGGUACCUCAGGUUACAUACGCUUCAGGUUAUAGACUCUGCUAACCCAGAAAUAGUACCUCGGGUUAAGAACUUUGCUUCAGGAUGAGAACAGAAAUCGUGCUCCAGCGGCGCUGCAGCAACAGGAGGCCCCAUUAGCUAAAGUGGUGCUUCAGGUUAAGAACAGUAUCUGCAGGGUUCUUUUAGAUGGAGGAUGAAUGAUGGGUUGUUGAGGAAUGACUUGGUGGUGGGAAAGGCCCAAAAGACUCUAAAGGAUUAUUUUGAAUUAAAUAUAAAUACAAAGGUAGAAGCAAGAGUCGUGUGGGAUGCUAGCAAAGCUGUAAUGAGAGGGUUCCUCAUACAACAGAAUGCUAUAAGGAAAAAACUUCAAAACGAAAAAAAGAAAAAAAUUCUUUCCCAAAUAAAUGAGAAAGAAAAGGAAUUAAGAUCAAAGCCUAAAAGCCAACAGAUACAAAAAGAAAUUAAAGCCUUGCAGAUUCAAUUUUCUCAAAUUAUAAAUCAAGAAAUAGAAUGGAAAAUAAAAUUAAUGAAACAGAGAAAUUUUGAAUCUGCAAAUAAAUGUGGGAAACUGCUGGCUUGGCAAUUAAAAAAAAAGACAGAGACAAAAUACGAUCACAAAUAUUGUAACAGAGGGGAAAUCUGUGGAAAAUCCUGGGGAUAUUAGAAAAUGCUUUCAGAAAUAUUUCAAACAACUGUAUAAAAAAGACAAAGAAGAUAAAGAUAAAAUUGAGCAAUUUCUUAGAUUAAAUGAAAUGCAGAAAAUUCCCGGAGAUAAAAGAUUACUACUCAAUGACAUGAUUACAAGACAGGAGGUAGAGACGGCAAUAAAUCAAAUGCAAUUGGGCAAAGCCCCGGGACCGGAUGGACUAUCUGCCAAGUAUUAUAAAACUUUCAAAGACUGGUUAAUUCAACCGUUGGCAGAGGUAUGUAAUAAGAUAUUGAGAGGGGAGAGGGCCCCUGAAACCUGGAGAGAUGCAUAUAUAACUCUGAUACCAAAAUCUGAACAAGAUAGAUCGGAUGUAAAGAAUUAUAUGCCAAUUUCAUUACUUAAUGUGGAUUAUAAAAUAUUUGCAAAUAUUUUGGCUAGCAGAUUGAAAAAAGUCUUAACAGAAUAUAUACAUAAAGACCAGGCAGGUUUUCUGUCUGGAAGACAUAUGAAAGAUAAUAUCAGAAAUAUAGUAGAUAUUCUGGAAAGAUUACAGGCUAAAAGAAAUACUAAAGCAUUAUUAAUGUUUAUUGAUGCGGAGAAAGCCUUUGAUAAUAUUUAUUGGCUUUUUAUGGGAAAAAAUUUGGAAAGUAUUGAAGUUGGCCAACAAUUUUUAAAUAGCAUUAAGGCGAUUUAUUCUGAACAAAAAACUAAAAUUAUUGUUAACAAUGUGGUAUCGGAGGAAAUUAAAAUUGAGAAAGGAACCAGGCAGGGAUGCCCACUUUCCCCCCUAUUAUUUAUUUUGGUCCUGGAGGUAUUGCUGAAUAUAUUGAGGAAAGAAGAGAAAGUAAAGGGCAUUGUGGUAGGAUCUAAGCAGUAUAAAUUAAAAGCCUUCGCUGAUGAUUUAGUGUUAACUCUACAGGAUCCAGAGUCCAGUGUAGUGAAAGCACUGGAGAUGAUACAGGAGUACAGGCAGCUGGCAGGUUUGAAUAAUUGAAUAAGAGCAAAACUAAAGUAAUAGAAAAGAACUUAGAUAAAGAUGAAAGGAAUACUAUUACUGAGAAAACAGGCCUGGCAUUUACGAAGAAGGUUAAAUAUUUGGGGAUGAACUUAACAGUGAAAAAUCUGAAUUUAUAUAAAGAUAACUAUGAGAAAGUAUGGAAUGAAGUAAAAAGAGAUUUGGAGAUAUGGUCAAAUUUAAAAUUCUCACUCAUGGGUCGAAUAUCGGUGGUGAAGAUGAAUGUAUUGCCGAAAAUGCUGUUUUUGUUUCAAACUUUGCCUAUUAUUGACAGUGUUAAAUGUUUUAAAGAAUGGCAGAAGACCCUGUCUAAAUUUAUAUGGCAGGGGAAAAAACCGAGAAUUAAGUAUAAAUUGCUUACAAACAUAAAAGAAAGAGGAGGUUUUUCCCUACCAGAUUUGAAGAUAUAUUUUGAAGCAGCGGCCUUCUGCUGGAUUAAAGACUGGAUUAAAUUAGAAAAUGAGGAUAUUUUGGACAUGGAGGGUCUGGAUAAUAGGUUUGGAUGGCAUGCAUAUCUUUGGUAUGAUAAAGUAAAGGCCCAUAGUGGUUUUAAGAAUCAUAUAAUCAGGAAGGCACUUUAUAAUGUGUGGAUUAGAUAUCAGGAUCUCUUGGUUAGAAAAACACCCAAAUGGAUUUCACCGAUGGAAGCCCAGGCACAAAAAAAGUUAAAUAUGGAGAAUAAGUGGUUGAGAUACUCUGAUUUAUUGAUAGAGGAUGCUGAGAGAUUUAAAUUAAAACCAUUUGAAUUAGUUAAAGAUAAAAUAAAUUGGCUUCAAUAUUAUCAAAUUAAUGAGCUAUUUAAGAUUGACAAGAAAAAAGGUUUUGCAACAGAAAAAACCAAAUCGGAAACGGAGUUGUUAGAUACUAAUGUUAAGAAUAUGUCUAGGAUGUAUAGCUUGCUAUUGGAGUGGCACAUGAAAGAUGAACAAGUAAAGUCGGUUAUGAUUGAUUGGGCACAAGAUGUGGGACACAACAUAAUGAUGGAGGAUUGGGAGAGACUUUGGAAGAAAGGGGUUAAGUUUACCGCAUGUAGUUUGCUAAAGGAAAAUAUUAUGAAAAUGAUGUAUAGAUGGUACCUAACCCCUGUUAAAUUGGCAAAGAUGUACCAUAACUGUGACAAUGUAUGUUGGAAAUGUAAAGAUAAAGAAGGUACCUUCUAUCAUAUGUGGUGGACUUGUCCCAAGGUAAAGGACUUCUGGGAAAAAAAUUAUAAUGAAUUUUUAAAAAUGCUGAAAUAUACAUUUAUUAAGAAACCAGAGUCCUUUCUCCUUGGGAUAAUUGGUACUGAACUGCCCAAAAAAGAUGUGAAAGUAUUUCUGUAUGCCACAACAGCUGCUAGGAUUUUACUAGCCAGUAAAUGGAAAACACAAGAAUUACCAACGUUAGAAGAAUGGCAGAUGAAGAUGAUGGAAUACAUGGAGCUGGCAGAUCUCACCGGGAGAAUCCGCGACCAGAAAGAAGAGGACUACCAAGAAGACUGGAAGAAAUUUAAAGACUAUUUGAAUAAAUAUUCUAACAUUAAAGAUAUGUAACCACUUGAAAGAACUUGGCCUAGGACAAAAUUAGAUUUAUAUGUAUAAUUAAGAAAAUGCACUAUAAGAAAGGUAAAGAAAGUGGAAUAUAACUGUAAUAUUGUAUUAUGAAACAAUGAUGUUGGAAACUGCUACAUUCAAUUUAAGUGGAAAUUCAGAUGGAGGAGAUUAGAGGAAGUCAACUAAAAUGUUUAUGAAAACGGAUCUUAAAUAAUUAAUUGAUUUUUUUUCUUUUCUUUUUUCUGUUUAGGUAUGUUAAGUCGGUUACUCUUUUUUCUUUAUUUAUUUCUAUAUUGUUGUUAUGUUGUUGUGUUAUUGUAUAUUAUUUUAUGUUUGUUUGUUAUGUUUAUUGAAAACUAAUAAAUAUUAUUGAAAAGAAAAAAAAAGAACAGUUUCAGGUUAAGAACAGACCUCCGGAACAAAUUAAGUACUUAACCUGAGGUACCACUAAUUCUAAUUUUGUCCCCAUCCUCCUCUCUGCUCACUUCUGCAAGGGCAACACUGGUGAUGGGACAGAAGUGGUAACUGGUACUUAUUGGACCUCAAAGGGCAGAAGGCAAGAAGACCCAGAGGCCACGUAAUUGUAGUUUUGUUCCCAUCUUCCUCCCUGCAAGCGCAACACUAAGGAGAAGGAGGAAGAAGACGGGAGGCAAUACUACAACCCUAGUCUGCUUGUAAGUAACAAGGGUAAAUAGGGUCUGGCUGAGUGCAGACUGAGGUUGGUGAGGCUGUGCCCCAUUCACCCUAAUGGAAUAGCCUCCACAGCUCAUUGGCAAGCACACACGCUCAUUAGGAAGACUUAGGCCAAGCUGUCUGCCCCAAGACAGGAUUAUCCUACCCCUAAAACGUCUCUGACAGGUGCCUGUCACGCCAAAGAUCCAUCACUCCAUUUCUAACUUCAGGUGCCUCUAGGAAGCCGUAAAGAGGACAUAUGGAAAAUGACCUUCUCUGUUGUUUGUCCCCAGCAUCAGGAGCACAACCUCUGUACACGGAAGCCCCACAAAAAUCUGAUUUGAUAGCAGCUGAUAGACUUAUCCUCCAUGAAGUUGCCUAAUGCUUUUAAGAGCCAUCAAAUCUAGUGGCCAUCACUACAUCUUAGGCAGCUUCUUCUAUUGCUGGGGUGCUCUUGGGAAACUAUCAUCCUCUUUGUAGUUUAAAACAUGAGCUUCUUACCCUAUCUUCCUCAACAGAUAAUGUGAAUGAUCGCUGUGCCUCUUCUUUCCGAUAUUCUUUUAAAAUACUUGAAGAUCCAGUCCAAUCCUGUUAGUAAUAUUUUCUCUAGGCUAAACAUAUCCGUUUCCUUUCCAUACGUAAACCCUUUAACAUCUUCAUAGUUCUCCUCCAAAUCCCUUCUAGGUUGUCAGCCUCUGUGACAAGUUGACAUUACAUCCCAGGCUGCUAAUCAAGACAAAAACUCCCAAGAUACGGGCCAGGAAGCGGCCCUUGUUGUUUGGUUUUUAGCUAUGUGGACACUGCUCAUAGAAUCAUAGAGAUGAAGGGUUGGAAGGGAUGACGAGGGUCAUCCAGCCCAACCCCCUGCAAUGCAAGGAUCUUUUGCCCAACGUGGGGCUCAAACCCACAACCCUGAGAUUAAAAGUCUCAUGCUCUACCGACUGAGCAAGAACAGCAGCACAUUACUCUUUAAACAGCACGGUAUUUCUUGCUUACUAUUAAUGGACUACGGUUGCCUGGUAUCUCCUUUCUCCAUUAAUUAGUAUUUUUAUUAUAUAUUUAUUUAUUUAGUUCUAUAUUUAUUUAUACCCUGCCUUUUCCACUGUUGGGACUCAAGGCGUCUUAAAUGCAUGUACUUACGGUAAAUUUCACAUUAAACAGUGUUAUCUGCUAAUACAAACAGGGGUUCUUAAACAAACUUUUUUCUCAUCAGCACAUGAAACAAGGGUUGAAGUGUCUGCUAUAAAGGGAAGGGGGGGUGCCCCCUGCAUCACUCCUAUGUGAAACCAAGCCUUCUGUUUUCAGGACACAACCAAGCUGCCCUACCCUUUGAGCUGAUUUCAAAUGUUACUAGCAGCGCAAUGCAAUGCGAGUUUAUCAAAAGUGUGUAAGACUUAAUUUCAGACUCAAUGAUUAUUUGGCAGGAAUUUAAGAUAUUGUGUGUGAUUUGUUUAUUUAAGAUAUUUAUAAAGCACAUUGCAUGUUUAACCUUCGCAAAGCAAUUUACAUAAGAAGAAUUGAAACACUUGUUUAAAAUGAAACAGCAAUGAGAAUGGAACAUAGAAGUUUCAUAGGCUCAUAGAUUUAGAAGGCACCCUGAGGAUCAUCUAGUCUAACCCCCUGCAAUGCAGGAAUAUACAGCUGUCCCAUAAGGGGAUCGAACCUGCAACCUUGGCAUUCUCAGCACCACGCUCUAACCAACUGAGCUACCCACUGCCCUGAGCCAGGGUGAUGACUCUGAAACACCUAAGGCCUGGGCGAGUUGUUUUUGUUUUUUAAGGUCUCAUCACAGUUGGGACAUAUUUGAUCAGCAAUAGUUCCCAAACUUCUCCCACUCAUGGACCACUUGAAAAUUGCUACAAGCCCUGGCAGGCCACUUAAUGGUUUUUCUGCCUGUUGUAGCAAUUAUAAUCUGUGCAGUGUUAAAUGAUGUAUUGUUUUUAAUUGUAGUUGUACAGACAUAUCAUAGACCACCUGAAUGAAGCUUGCAUACUACUGGGCGGGGGGCAGUCUGUAGACCACAGUUUGGGAGCCCCUGAGCAUCCACUUUUUGAAGAGCUGAAUGGCAUUUAAAGCCUCAGGAUAGUACAAGACAGUGAUUACAGAAGAAGAAACAGAGGUAAGCCAUAUCACUUGCUCUCUAUGCCUGGGCUCAGCCCUUGAAGUUGUGAAGUAAUAAUAAAGUACAGGGCUCUGACCAUAUGCAGAAUAUAUUUUUUUCCAUUUCACCUCUGAGUUAGCACAAUCCCACAUAUAUGGGAUGAGCAAAAAAAGGCUCCUUGGGGCUGAGGAUGGGUAUGCCAGUAAGGCUUCAACUCUCACCAGUUCAAAGUGAAUGAGGAAUUCUAGAAGGGGAACUAUUUAGGAAUGGGCAAACAGGAGCAGUUGCCCCCCACUCCACCCCAUGUUUCAGAUCUCAUGUGAUGUAUAUCUGAACAACUGACAGGUCCUACACGCUACAUGACUCCUGUAAUCAAGAGCUCAAUGGGUGGACAGAGAAAUUGACAGCCCCGUCUGCAGCAGCAGAGAAGAAAGAAACAGAGGGCCCAUCACUGUAUCUGAAGCCCUGUUUAGAAA